GACGAACGCUGGCGGCGUGCUUAACACAUGCAAGUCGAACGGAAAGGCCCCUUUGUGGGUACUCGAGUGGCUAACGGUUGAGUAACACGUUAGUAACCUGCCCUUUACUUCGGUAUAACUUCAGGAAACUGGGGCUAAUACCGGAUAGGAAUCCUUUCUGCAUGGUGGGGGUUGGAAAGCUUCGGCGGUUUUGGAUGGACUCGCGGCUUAUCAGCUUGUUGGUGGGGUAGUUGCUUACCAAGGCUUUGACGGGUAGCCGGCCUGAGAGGGCGACCGGCCACAUUGGGAAUGAGAUACGGCCCAGAAUACUACGGGAGGCAGAAGUGGGGAAUAAUGCAAAAUGGGAGGAAGCCAGAUGAAGAAAAGCCGAGGGCGGGAUGAAGGCCUUCGGGUUGUAAAACGCAUUCAGCAGGGGAGAAGAUUGUGGUGACGGUACCUGCAGAAGAAGCACCGGCUAACUACGUG
rnacentral:rRNA from 1 species